ensembl:lncRNA
UCAAGUUUCUAAAGCUCACCAGCCCUUGAAUCCCACACCAGACCAAUCGAGGCAGAGUCUCUGGGGGGUGGCACUUGGCUGUGGGUCGUUUAAAAGUCACACUAGGUGAUUCUGAAGCCUUGGAGCAGUUGAGACGCCCCAAGCCAGCCACUUCCUAUCCCGUAUCUGAUCUGAGCCCAAAGGCCACUCCAUGACUGCUGGGCAGGUUCAGGCCACCUUGCAUUGUCUCCCGGUCAGUUAUCAUACACUCCUUUGCACGAGCAUGAUUUGCACACCUGUGCCUCCCUUGCACACCUGUAAAAUCGCAGGGACUGGUCUGUUCCGUUCACAGCUGUGUCCUCAGUGCCUGGCGCACCACACAGUAGUUGCUCGUCAAGGUUUUGGUGAAUGAAGGAGUAAACCCUGAAAAAAUGUGAGGCGUUGAACCAAGACCUUGGAACAGAAUGAGCAAGGGGCUUUUAUGUGCUUCACGGAUUCGCCCUUUCACUGUUCAAAGACUGGAGCACAGAUGCGGUGAUGAGAUGCCCAAAUACUACCUGACUUUCCCGGCGCUCCUGCUGACCACCUUGCACCCCUCUGCUCUGUGCAGCUGCCCUCCCCCACCAUCUCCCUGGCCUGCCGUCACACACACCCCCACUUUGCCCCCACCACUGUCAUCCCCACGAUGACCUCUCCAGUUCUCUCUGCCAGGGCGUGGAGCUAGGGGUCACCCCCCAACGCCUAGUAAAGAACUUUCCAUGGAGUAAGUGUUCAAUGCAUUUCUGCUGAAUAAACAACUAAGAGUCGGAUCUGAAUCUUGAAGGAAAGAACGGUAGGGUGUGUGCGUAGUUUGAAAAAGCAUUUUUCAUCUUAUCAUGUAAUUUUAUAACGUCAUUGUAUAUCUGGAAAGCAAAGGAGGAAAGCCUAAACGACAGUGGGAAAAUGAAACUCACUGGCUCUGGAGUCAGGCUGCGUGAGUUCAAACCUGUUUUUCUUCCACUUACGAGCUGUGUUACUACAGACAAGUAAUCUCUGUGCCUCAGUUUCUCAUCAUAAAACUGGUCUCAGGGCCUCCCCGGUGGUCCAGUGGUUAAGACUCCGUGCUCCCAACAUAGGGGACCUGGGUUUGAUCCCUGGUCAGGGAACCAGAUUCUGUGUGCCACAGCUAAGACCUGGAGCAGUCACAUAAAUUAAUAUUUUUAAAGAAUCCUCCCAAAACUGUGGNNNNNNNNNNNNNNNNNNNNNNNNNNNNNNNNNNNNNNNNNNNNNNNNNNNNNNNNNNNNNNNNNNNNNNNNNNNNNNNNNNNNNNNNNNNNNNNNNNNUAAUAUUUUUAAAGAAUCCUCCCAAAACUGUGGUCUUUGCCUUUCAAGGUUAUUAUUAUGCAAUAGCACAGAUAUGAUAUAUAAUACUUAGUAAUAGUAUAUAUGUAUUAUAUACAAUACAUUACAAUUAUUAUAUAAUCAUUUUAAAUGAAUAAAUAUGUAUAAAGCUCUUGAAAUAGUGCCUAGCACAUAUGAGUGUUCAAUAAACAGUAUCUGGAUUUUUUAUUAAUUGUAUGUAUAUGUGUGAAUGUGUGAAAGUCACUCAGUCGUGUCUGACUCUUUGCAACCCCAAGGAGUAGAGCCCACCAGGCUCCUCUAUCCAUAGGAUUCUUUAGGCCAGAAUACUGGAGUAGGUAGCCGUUCCCUUCUCCAAGGGACCAUCCCAAUCCCGGGAUCAAACCCAGGUCUCCUGCGUUGCAGGAGGAUUCUUUACGGUCUGAGCCACCAGCAGAGCCCAAGAACAUUGGAGUGGGGAGCCUAUGCUUCUGGGGAGGAUGCCUGCCUUUUAUGACUCAGAGACCCUCACAUCUGGGUGGAGCACCUUAGCAUGGAGGGAGAUGGAGACUAGAUCCAGAUUCCUCUUUUAGGCUUGUCAAAGGUUUGGCCAAUGGGAGGCACCAUCAAGGGAUUGGAGGGCGGAAGGAAGGGAGAAACCAGGAUAUUUCUCUCUUUCUCUUCUCUGAUAGCAGUUACAUCUCUGUGACUCCAGCUCCUUCUGGAGCUGCUGCCGGCUGUGGCUCUAGUUCCUUCUGAGGAUCCCCAGUGCCUGGCCUCUGGUGCUGCCCCCCUCCUUCCCCUGUCCUUCCUGGUUAGGAUGGAGACGACUUCCUGCUCUUGCUAAUCCCUG